rnacentral:lncRNA from 1 species
AGGAUCCUGUCAGCAAGCACUUCUUGGCAUCAUUAAUAGUGUUUGGGUUUGGUGUCUGCAUGUGGGAUGUAUCCCCAGGUGGGGCAGUCCCUCGGUGGCCUUUCUUUUAGUCUCUGCUCAUAAUAAUUAAAUCUUAUGAGACAUACUUGCAUAAUGAGUGGCUCUUGCAUUGACAGCAGCUCUAAUGUCACUUUGCUAGAAGCUCAUAGAAGGUAAACAUAUAACUUGAAAACCUUCCACAAACUAAUGUCCGAGCUUGCAUGUGUGAGAAAGACUGAGGACAACUCAGGAAUCAGUUUCCUACUGUGUAAGUCCUGGGCUUUAACUUAGGUUAUCAAACCUGCUAAGCCAUGAUGCUGGUUCAAUAACCUACCUACCUUCCUUCCUUCCUUCCUUCCUUCCUUCCUUCCUUCCUUCCUUCCUUCCUUCUGUCCAUCCUUCCAUCCCUCCUUCCUUCCUUCCUUUUUUUCCUUCUUUCCAUCCUUCUUCCUUCUAUUUUUUUUCUUUCUUUUUGAAGCAGGGUGUCACUGUACAACCCUGGCUGGCCUCAAACUCACAGGUAGUUAUCUGUGCCCCUCAAGUGUUCAUGGUGAAGGAAUGCACUACCACACCCAUCCUAAGAACGUUUUUCUGGAAGAAAAGAAUUUCCUUCCAUGCAGGUUGCAUAACAGGAGCAUGCUACAUUGUUUAAAAAAAGACUACAAGUUGUGUGGGAAUUUUAAACUCAGAAUGUUCAUCUUGUGCUGACAUAAAAAUAUACCUUCUAUCCUCCUUCGACGUGAGCCAUAUUGAAAAGAUGUUUUCCUGCAUUGAGACUUUAGUUGUUAAGGCACAACUAUGGAAUUCAGGUUCAUAUGAAAGUCUUUGGAAUCCAUGACCAUCUGUUAGUAUGAGAUGGAAUCAUUGGGUCCUCCAGAUCCACUGGAACUGAAGUUACAGAUUUGUGAUCCAUCCUGUAGGUUAUGGGAAAGAAAACUCUACAAGAACAAUAAGUAGUCUUAACAGCUGAGCUGUCUACCAUCCCCUUGGUUUUGUUUUUUUUCUUUCAAUGCCAUACUUUUACUAUUCAAAUGGUAGUUCUUUGCUUUGCAAGGGCCUUGGUAGACUUUGGAAGGGGCUCUUAACUUAGGCAGGGUCUGGGAAGGUGGCACAAUGCUUAGUGUUUUCAGAGCUACCCCAUGAACCUGAAUUUAAAGCCUCAGCAGUAAAGCCUGUAACCCCAGCAUGGGGUAGGGAAGAGAGAGGGGGAUCCAUAGAGCUUGCUGGCCCCAUAACCCCAUAGUCUAGCUGGGUUGAUAAGUGCUCUGAGGUGGUGGCAAAGUCUUCCACUCAGCAGUUCAGGAUAACCUGAAUACUGCCAGCAAGAGUAGGUG